GACGAACGCUGGCGGCGUGCCUAAUACAUGCAAGUAGAACGCACAGUUUAUACCGUAGCUUGCUACACCAUAGACUGUGAGUUGCGAACGGGUGAGUAACGCGUAGGUAACCUGCCUGGUAGCGGGGGAUAACUAUUGGAAACGAUAGCUAAUACCGCAUAAUAUUAAUUAUUGCAUGAUAAUUAAUUGAAAGGUGCAAUUGCACCACUACCAGAUGGACCUGCGUUGUAUUAGCUGGUAGGUGAGGUAACGGCUCACCUAGGCGACGAUACAUAGCCGACCUGAGAGGGUGAUCGGCCACACUGGGACUGGGACACGGCCCAGACUCCUGCGGGAGGCAGCAGUAGGGGAUCUUCGGCAAUGGACGAAAGUCUGACCGAGCAACGCCGCGUGAGUGAAGAAGGUUUUCGGGUCGUGAAGCUCUGUUGUAAGAGAAGAACGGGUGUGAGAGUGGAAAGUUCACACUGUGACGGUAGCUUACCAGAAAGGGACGGCUAACUACGUG
rnacentral:rRNA from 1 species